rnacentral:tRNA from 1 species
GGGCCUGUAGCUCAGCUGGUAGAGCACUUCCAUGGCAUGGAUGGGGUCAAGGGUUCAAGUCCCUUCAGGUCCACCA